rnacentral:rRNA from 1 species
AGCGAACGCUGGCGGCAGGCUUAACACAUGCAAGUCGAGCGGGCCUUUCGGGGUCAGCGGCGGACGGGUGAGUAACGCGUGGGAACGUGCCCUCUGGUUCGGAAUAACUCAGGGAAACUUGAGCUAAUACCGGAUACGCCCUUCUGGGGAAAGGCUUGCUGCCGGAGGAUCGGCCCGCGUCUGAUUAGCUAGUUGGUGAGGUAACGGCUCACCAAGGCGACGAUCAGUAGCUGGUCUGAGAGGAUGAUCAGCCACACUGGGACUGAGACACGGCCCAGACUCCUACGGGAAGAAGCAGUGGGGAAUAUUGGACAAUGGGCGCAAGCCUGAUCCAGCCAUGCCGCGUGAGUGAUGAAGGCCUUAGGGUUGUAAAGCUCUUUUAUCCGGGACGAUAAUGACGGUACCGGAGGAAUAAGCCCCGGCUAACUUCGUG